GUUCAGCAUUUGUUCUAGGUUUACAAGUCCAUUUUUAUGAAGCCCUUAGGACAUGUAUUUUAAGAUAUAAAUCAAAAGAAAAGUCUUACAGGAGUUCCUCUUGUGGCUCAGCAAGUUACAAACCAGACUAGUAUCCAUGAGGAUGCAGCUUCAGUCCCUGGCCUUGCUUAGUGGGUUAAGGAUCUGGAGAUGCUGUGAGCUGUGGUGUAAGUCACAGAUGUGCCUUGGGGGUCCAAUCGGAGCUGUAGCUGCCGGCCUACGCCAGAGCCACAGCAACUCGGGAUCCGAGCCGUGUCUGCAACCUACACCACAGCUCGCGGCAACGCCGGAUCCUUACCCCACUGAGCAAGGCCAGGGAUGGAACCCGCAGCGUAAUGGUUCCUAGUCGGAUUCGUUAACCAGUGCGCCACGAUGGGAACUGCUAUUUGUGAAGCUUACUCAGUGGUCCAGGAUGCAAUUUCCCAUCAUCUUGUCUGUGCCUCUGUAUCAUUUACCUAAAUCCAAAAGAUGGGAAACUAAGGACCAUCCCCAAACUCUGGACUAUGAUAGUAGACAUCCCUGGCAGUAAAACAUGUUCUGGAAUCAAGAAAUGUUUGUGAUUUUUACCAGACUGCAGGCCCUUUUGAAUUCCCUACAACUUUAAAUUUCAUAUUCUUAAUGCAAGACUGUGCAAAGCAGUUUAGAAAACAAUGCAAAGUUUUAGUAAAUUAAGGCAGUGUUUUGUUUUCUCCCGUCUCCUAUUUAUUGCAUGUUCUUUUUCCCUUGCCAGUGAGGAGCAAGCUCAGCCAGAUGCAUACAGGGCUAACCAAUGGGUUCAUGUUCUAGAAGUAGAAUUUUCUUCUCUGAUUCAAACUCCCUAGUAAAAAAUUAUACUUUAGAUAGUUUUCUUAUCGUCACCCCAAAGGCACACAGAAGAAACUAGAGGAGAGUUUUCUGGAAGGACACAUCUGGUUCCUUUGUGUAAAUUUCAGUUGCUGUCUGUAAAAAUGUUUCAGCUUGCAAAAAACCUGGCUCAGUAUCAGACUUCACUUGAAUGUAGCAGUGAUUGGAGAGGAAAGGUCAUGUAGGGCAAGAUCCUGUAUAGGAACAUAGUCUUCCACUGAAGUAUCUCCUUGGUCUCACCAAGCCUCAAUUUCCUCUUCACUAAAGAUAAAGUAAAAGAGUGACCUUCACUUUGCUGUACAGCAGAAAUUGGCAGAGCAUUGUAAAUCAACUAUAAUAGAAAAAUAAAAAUCUUUAAAAAAGGAGUGGACCUUGAGCUAGUCAGGGUCUUGGAUACAACAUCAAAAGCACAAGUAAUUAAAUAAAGAUAAGUUGGCCCUCAUCAAAAUUCAAACAUUUUGAACUUCAAAAGACACCAUUAACACAUGCAAAACAAACCACAGAUUCGAAGAAAAAAAUCCAAAGCAUAUAUAAUGAUAAAUGUCUUGUGUCUAAAAUACGUAUUCAGGAGUUCCCAUCGUGACUCACGGAAGCAAAUCUUACUAGUAACCAUAAGGACACAGGUUCGAUCCCUGGCCUCGCUCAGUGGGUUAAGGGUCCAGCGUUCCCAUGAGCUGUGGUGUAGGUCACAGAUGUGGUUCGAAUCCCAUGUGGUGUAGGCCAGCAGUUACAGCUCCAAUUCAACCCCUGGCUUGGGAACCUCCACAUGCCGUGGGUACAGCUCUAAAAAGACCAAAAAAAAAAAAAAAAAA
rnacentral:lncRNA from 1 species